rnacentral:rRNA from 1 species
GAUUAACGCUGGCGGCGUGCCUAACACAUGCAAGUCGAACGAGGUAGCAAUACCUAGUGGCAGACGGGUGAGUAACGCGUGGUCAACUUACCGUUGAGUGGGGGAUAACUAGCCGAAAGGUUAGCUAAUACCGCAUACGUCUCCGAGUGGCAUCACUUGGCGAUAAAGGAGCAAUCCGCUCGAUGACGGGACCGCGUCCCAUUAGCUAGAUGGU